CGCAUUGGGAUUAUGUUCCGCUUGAUGGCGCAGCAAUGCGGUCAAUGCAGGCAUAUUGAAUUCCAAUAAUGUACUAAAGGAGCUCGAUUGAUUGCGAUCGCUGUGUGGAGGUUAUAUAAAGAUAAGAAAUUGAAUGUUCUGUAAUAUUUUCUUCAUUCUGAUCAUUUCCUAACGAUCGCGGUUGAUGAAAAACUGUAUGCUCUAACUCACAUACUCACAUUUGCACUAAUUUCGAAUUCGGUAUUAAAUUUUCCAAGUUUUGCAUAUUCUUGAUGCGAAAGCCGAGUUUCGCCGGAUUUGGAUUAUUGGCUAGAAGACCUACAAUUCCAGCUGGAAAGGAUAACAUCAUAUCGCCAGAGAUUUUAACCUGACAACGUGAUUCAUCGCUACCACUGUCGAAACGUGAAAAGAUUAAUAUUACGAGCGUGUCUGUAUAUAUAUACGAACCGAAAGUAUGCGUGUAUAAUUUCAUGGAAUGCCACCGCUAGUGGAAUAGUGUCUGAAAUGCCAAUGGUGAGCGGCGAUGGACCUCGCGAUGACCCUAUACCACCGAUAGCUGUGCGGAAUUCCAAACUGCCAAUACUGUCUGCGCGAUUCAUUGCUGGAGAUGGACUAAUGCGCCCACGGGCCGCUGCUACUGAAGGUGCCAUUACCAUUUCGGAACGGCGCGAAGGUGGUCUUGGUAUUGCAAUACUGUUAGCGGAUGUUGGUGUGGGUAUUUGACGGCUAUUUGAUUUCGAAAGAGUUGCGGAUGCCGGUGCAGAGGCGCUUACAUCGCCCAGCUCAGAAAAUAUGUCACCCAAGUCGGCAUAUCUGCGAAUGAAUAUAUUUAUUCAUAAAUAGGAGAACUGCUUGGAAUAUUUCAAUAUAUGGCAAUUACCUCGAAUUGUUCGUCAUGGAGAGUGUAGGACUUUGCAGUGGAGCAUAUGGAUGCACUGUUGCCGUUGGUGUGGACGCAUUGGAUAUCUCAGGCGAUUGCUGACGCGAAGCAAUGCGCGAUUGCUGCAACUGCUGAUUGCUGUGCUGUUGGUUGAAAGUC